rnacentral:rRNA from 1 species
GAUAGGAGCUUGCUUCUCUGAUCAGUGGCGAACGGGUGAGUAACACGUGAGCAAUCUGCCCUUGACUCUGGGAUAAGCGUUGGAAACGACGUCUAAUACCGGAUACGACCCUUGGAGGCAUCUCUGGGGGUGGAAAGAAUUUUGGUCAAGAUGAGCUCGCGGCCUAUCAGACUAGUUGGUGAGGUAAUGGCUCACCAAGGGCGACGACGGGUAGCCGGCCUGAGAGGGUGACCGGCCACACUGGGACUGAGACACGGCCCAGACUCCUACGGGAGGCAGCAGUGGGGAAUAUUGCACAAUGGGCGAAAGCCUGAUGCAGCAACGCCGCGUGAGGGACGACGGCCUUCGGGUUGUAAACCUCUUUUAGUAGGGAAGAAGCGUAAAAGUGACGGUACCUGCAGAAAAAGCACCGGCUAACUACGUGCCAGCAGCCGCGGUAAUACGUAGGGUGCAAGCGUUGUCCGGAAUUAUUGGGCGUAAAGAGCUCGUAUGCGGUUUGUCGCGUCUGCUGUGAAAACCCGAGGCUCAACCUCGGGCCUGCAGUGGGUACGGGCAGACUAGAGUGCGGUAGGGGAGAUUGGAAUUCCUGGUGUAGCGGUGGAAUGCGCAGAUUUCAGGAGUGAACACCAAUGGCGAAGGCAGAUCUCUGGGCCGUAACUGACGCUUCAGGAGCGAAAGCAUUGGGAGCGAACAGGAUUAUGAUACCCUGGUAGUCCAUGCCGUAAACGUUGGGAACUAAUUUUGGGGACCAUUCCACGGUCUCCGUG